UCCUCUAUCAUGUUAGCGGGA
rnacentral:piRNA from 1 species